UGGGAUGUAGCUUAAUUUAGGUAAAGCGUUAGUUUUUGGAGCUAAUCCUCGUAGGUUCGAAACCUUCCAUCCUAU
rfam:PVC group bacterium (ex Bugula neritina AB1) isolate AB1-3 AB834_contig000086, whole genome shotgun sequence.